ACUUAAAUAGCUUAAGUUUUAAAGCAUAGUAUUGAAGAUACUAGGAUAAGAUUUGUUCUUUUUAGGUA
rnacentral:tRNA from 1 species